GCAACUAUAAUAGAAAUCUAUCUGCUUCUUAACCGGUUAAUAUAUUAAUUAUACUUGAGUCGUGCUAGGCACUGUCCAAAGAAAAAUUUCAGCAGUGUGAAAUGUUUCUCCAGGAUUAAACAAGCACUUCCCUAAUUAAUUAGAGGAUACAAGAAUCAACAAAGUUAUUAAUACAAAUAUCAACAAGUUAAAAUAUUAAAGCAAAAUAAAAACAACAACAAUAGGUGAUAGCCCUUUCUUUUUCCAAAUACACAAUAAAUUAUUUUCCUACAACAAACACCUAUUAGAACAUGGAUUCGGAAAAGCAAAACUUUAAGCCGAUUAUAAGCGAUAUUGGAUAUCCUCUACGCGUCCACUCGUGAGGACAAAGCUGAGUGUUCCAGACAGUUGUUUGAUCGAUCCUGUGACUGUAAAAACAAGGUAACCCAACAGUCUUAUUCCUGAAUGUAAAAACAAGGUUACUGGUGCAUCAGGAAUAGGACUGUUGGGUUACCGAUUCUGGAACACUCAGCUUUGUCCUCACCGAGUGGAUGCGUAGAGGAUAUCCAAUAUCACUUAUAAUCGGCUUUAAGUUUCGCUUUCCGAAUCUAUGUUGUAAUAGGUGUUUGUUUACUUCAGUACUUCCAUAGCACGUAACAUUGUCUCGAUUUACAGUCCUUAAAAAGUAAUUUCCAACAGACACAAUUAACUUAUUUUAUUGGAUGUCCACCAUAGCUUUUCUAGAGAUAGCUUUUCCACGUAGUUUUUCUUCAUUGAAUCUCAAACUCGAUUUAGGGUGCGGCAUCGAAGAGAAAUAAUUUUUGACUCUAGGGCUGAGAAACACUUGCUCAAGUGUUGUUGCACAUCUCAGAAUAUAAACAACAAAUUCCAUCUCGACCUCUGAUCCUUCAAAAAAUCGACAGUAUAUAACUUGUUUUAGUUGAGUGUGAUAUUUAAGAGAUGAAAGAGGCCUUCUGCUUCCUCUUAUCUCCUUUGUUCUCGUAAUUUAAACCACCUGAGAUUGAUCACAGUGAGAAUAAGAUCAACAUACUGCUAAAUAAUUACAACGAGGAAUUGAUAGUUUGACAAAACUAAACUGAACUAACAGUGGACUGUAAGGAAUAUUACUCAUUACUUGGUAGUUCAUUGUGCAGGGAAUCACACCAAAUUAACAAACGUAAAUGUAUUUAAGCGUUUGAAUUAGCCAGCGACCAGUAAAGUUGGACAUUUCUGUAGCUUAUAAAGCAAUGUUUAAACAUACAGUUUGCAAAUCUUCGCAAUCUAUCUUGAAGACUUUUCACUGUUACAAAUAGAUGAAACUGCACUAUACAACAACACACCCAGACCGUACACCAUCGAUACAAGGUAGAGAGGCUGCUUGUGAGAGAGAUCGAGGAGCUGCACUGUGCAUCUACAGAUUAUUAUAAAAUCAAUGCUCUUUCACAUCAUCUUAUGAAGCCAAGUGGAUUUUAUUUGUGAAUAAGAUGCAAGUAUGACUCCUUUGUACUUAAAAAUAUAUGAUAAGACUUGUAGGAUUUCAAAAAUCAUUAAAACAAAUGGAUAUGGUUGUUAAUUACCUCUAAACACAAAAUGAUAGUUAACGAACAAGAAUAUCAAAAAAAUAUAAGAAUUAUGAAAAGAAGAAGAUCAUGAAGAUGGAUAACUCACCACGAAACUCAAAGAUUGGAGAAGAGGAUGAUUCCAUUGUUUAAUGCCAUGGUUUGAUAAAAUUAAAAUUGAACAUGUAUUUAUGUAUAUAUACUAAAUUGCACGAGAGUCAUAAAUGUGAUUUGCAAAGAAACAGCUAGUUUCCUAGAUUUAGG
rnacentral:lncRNA from 1 species